rnacentral:rRNA from 1 species
UACGGGGGGGGUAAGCGUUGUUCGGAAUUACUGGGCGUAAAGGGCUCGUAGGCGGCCAACUAAGUCAGACGUGAAAUCCCUCGGCUUAACCGGGGAACUGCAUCUGAUACUGGAUGGCUUGAGUUCGGGAGAGGGAUGCGGAAUUCCAGGUGUAGCGGUGAAAUGCGUAGAUAUCGGGAGGAACACCAGUGGCGAAGGCGGCGACCUGGGCCAAUACUGACGCUGAGGUGCGAAAGCGUGGGGAGCAAACAGG